AUGUUUAACAUUGUGGAGCUUAUGGCCAGUUCAGAUGUUCUUAGAAUGGAAUCUUGGAUUAAGCUUUUGAAAAUUCAUAACUAUGAAAUAGAUCUUCCCCAGGAGCGGGGCGCCACUGCCGGGUGGAACGCCCACGUGGACAACCUCAUGGCCCACAGGACCUGUCAGGACACGACCAUCGUGGGCUACAAGCACUUGUCCUCCGUCUGGGCCACCAUCCUCGGAAAAAUAUGUUGAUUUUUUUUUUUCUUUUCUCAGAGGAAUAGUGCAGUUAAAAUGGAAUGUGGAUGUAUUUUCAGUAUGAGCAAAGACCGGUCAAGUUUCUUCGUGAAUGGGCUGACACUUGGGGGCCAGAAAUGUUCUGUGAUCCAGGACUCACUGCUGCAGGGUGGGGAAUUUACCAUGGAUCUUCAUACCAAGAGCACUGAUGGAGCCCCCACCUUCAAUGUCACUGUCACCACGACUGUCAAGACGCUAGUCCUGCUGAUGGGCAAAGAAGGUGUCCAUGGCGGUUUGAUCAACAAGAAAUGUUAUGAAAUGUCCUCCCACCUGCGGCGUUCCCAGUGACCUCGUCUGGCCCUUUCCCACCACUUCCACAGCUUUUGCACCCCUUCCCAUACACACAUACACCAUUUUUAUUUUGGAGGCCAUUACCCCACACUC